rnacentral:tRNA from 1 species
GAGGCUGUAGCUCAGUUGGUAGAGUGCUUGCCUAGCAUGCAUGAAGCUUGGGGUUCCAUCCCCAUCAACUCA